GGUCGUGAAUUUCGGUCCAUCCCGUGAGGGUUGUGUACUAGAAAUAUGCGACCAUCCUCGAAGAAAAUAUAUCUGAUAUUUAUUUAUUGGGUAUAAGAUCUUCGUCAUUUACUGUGAGCAAAAUAGAGUGUUCAAAGCAGGCUUAUGCCGUUGAAUAUAUUAGCAUGGAAUAAUAAGAUAAGACCUUGGUCUAUUUUGUUGGUUUGCUGUCCAAGGUA
rnacentral:rRNA from 1 species